AUAAUGCAAGGCAACAGGCAAGGUGCCGUGGUCAUUCUCGGUUAAUUAGAUUAGUCAUGGUGCGGCCCGUGGAGCCUCACGGCCAAACCAGAACGGACGCGACGGGUCACGUAGGGGCUGCGGAGUGAGUUGUUUUUUUUGCCUGCCACACUGACAUCGUCUUUGAAGUAUGUGGAAAAAUCCAGUAUUUUUACACACAGAAGACGGGCUUUCCUGCGUGCAUCUUGCAUAUUGAGCCCUGUGUUAAUGCAGUUGGUUAUGCAUGACUUGAAAGUGUGGGCUACAUUAAGUGGUACUGAAUUAAUUAACUAGAUCCUUUUAUCGACUUGAUCCUGGAUAUACAUUGAUUUUACUGAUUUAUUGUAACGUGCCAUGUCAGAAUACCCACGAGGUCGCUAAGCUCUCGGUCACAUUGCCUCUGAGCAUUCGUAUUUAUUUAUUUUUUAUCAUCAUUUUGAAACAGAUUACUCAUUUGUUUACACGGUUAUAUUUUACUUGUAAGAGGGCCGCUUAGCGAGGCGUAGAUCGGGAAAAAUAAGAGGAAAAAUAGGGAAGAGUGUUGUGGGUGCGCGGCUAUGCACAGUCCUUCAGCUGUUUAUCUAACGAGCCAACUAAUUUAGCUAACAUUGGAUUUAUAAAAAAAAAAAUAGCAAGCAUUUAUUUUGGUUUGUGUGGCUGGGAUGUAGAUCUAAAUAAAUCCCGACAAAAAGGGAUGCCGUGGUUUGGUUAGGUUGGGGAACCCUACAGUAGAGGCUGCAGUUCCGCGUUUCAGCAGAGAGCAUAGAGGAAGGGCUUCAAAUCAGCUGCUAACGGCAACCAACUCUCUCACGAAGAGCAGACCUCACGGGACCCAGUGGUAGAACCAGGCGAAAGGGAAAGACGAUGUCCUUCUGGCAUAUGAGGGGAGCUAGAAACUCACUCGCCCAUGUUUCCAACUCCCAAACUGAAUAAUGGAGGUGGGAGGAAGCACUACAUGGCCAAAGAAAAAGACGUGGACCCGGACUGCUACCUCUGAGGCGGUGCUGUUGCAUGACUGUGGGUCUCUGCGCUGGCUGGAGGCGGGUGCGGGCUGCCUCUGCACAAAGGGCUUCAGGACCUCCAGGCCUUUCCCGGGUAGAACCUUCAGAACUGCUGCCUGGCACGCCUUCUCACCCGCCAGCCGCUCAAACCACGCCUGCACACACUUCCACUCACCUGAAUGGCUACCCACCGAGAGCUGGACUGGAGUCAGACAGAAAAGGAUGAAGAGCGCCCCAAAGCACAACGUCAACCACCGAAACGGAUUCCUAGAAAAACACACAUUUCUGUGCAUAAAUACAUUGCAUCAACAUAAAUGUGUUAACUAUUUUUUAACAAUUGAUACAAAUGUCCUCUCAAGGUUUGACUACUCAAAAAUAUAUUUAAAAUACCACAGGGAGGAACAGUAGGUAAGAAAGUUAAGCAAAAUUAUGUAUGCUGCCCUUGUUCAGAGGAACAUAAAGCCCAGAAAGCCCUUGGGAGGCU